rnacentral:rRNA from 1 species
UACGUAGGGGGCAAGCGUUGUCCGGAUUUAUUGGGCGUAAAGAGCGUGUAGGCGGCCUGUCAGGUCUGCUGUGAAAACUCGAGGCUCAACCUCGAGACGUCGGUUGAAACCAUCUGGCUAGAGUCCGGAAGAGGAGUGUGGAAUUCCCGGUGUAGCGGUGAAAUGCGCAGAUAUCGGGAAGAACACCCGUGGCGAAGGCGGCACUCUGGGACGGUACUGACGCUGAGACGCGAAAGCGUGGGGAGCGAACAGG